rnacentral:rRNA from 1 species
AAUCAACGCUGGCGGCGUGCCUCAGACAUGCAAGUCGAACGAUUAAAGCUCUCUUCGGAGAGUGUAUAGAGUGGCGCACGGGUGAGUAACACGUAAGUAAUCUACCCUCGAGUGGGGAAUAACGUCCGGAAACGGACGCUAAUACCGCAUAAUGCAGCGGCACCGCAAGGUGACAGUUGUUAAAGGAGAAAUUCGCUUGAGGAGGAGCUUGCGGCAGAUUAGCUUGUUGGUAAGGUAACGGCUUACCAAGGCUACGAUCUGUAACCGGUCUUAGAGGACGGUCGGUCACACUGACACUGAAUAACGGGUCAGACUCCUACGGGAGGCAGCAGUCGGGAAUUUUGGGCAAUGGGCGAAAGCCUGACCCAGCAACGCCGCGUGAAGGAUGAAGUAUCUCGGUAU